UACGUAGGGGGCAAGCGUUGUCCGGAUUCAUUGGGCGUAAAGAGCGUGUAGGCGGCCAGGCAGGUCCGCUGUGAAAACUCGAGGCUCAACCUCGAGAUGUCGGUGGAAACCGUCUGGCUAGAGUCCGGAAGAGGAGAGUGGAAUUCCCGGUGUAGCGGUGAAAUGCGCAGAUAUCGGGAAGAACACCCGUGGCGAAGGCGGCUCUCUGGGCCUUACCUGACGCUGAGGAGCGAAAGCGUGGGGAGCAAACAGG
rnacentral:rRNA from 1 species